rnacentral:lncRNA from 1 species
UCUUUAAUGUUUUGUUAUGUAUUUAUUCAUAUACCAUUACCCCAGUCCUACCAGGAAGCGCAUCCCCUGUAUGAGAACAUGCAGCCUCAGACCCAUCCAACAAGAACUGUUGGAAAUCUGUGUGAGUCAAAGUCCAGGAAGCCCUGCCGCUGCACUAGGUCCCAGUGCCUUAAACUGUACUGUGAGUGUUUUGCUAAUGGGCUGAUGUGCAGCAGCUGUGACUGCUCCAACUGCCACAACAAUGCAGACCACGGAAUGAAGCGCCAUCAGGCAAUUAAGGUUUUCAAGUUGGCUCAAGAGUUGUGCAGAUACAAGAGAGUAACAAUUCUCCCCAUUAAAUCUUCAAGGAAGCAUAGAAAGAUGUGUACAGUGUGUGACGGACAUCAACAAAUCUUUUGAGAGCAGGCAUAGAUGAUUCACACAUAGUCCAACUAAUGGGAGCCUUUCUGACAUGUCUGAUUAAGUCAUUACCAAAAACUUCUGUGCCAUUUUCUAAAAAUUAAAAUGUAGCCACAAUUGACCCAGCUACAAAUUUAAAAUCAGCUUCUAUUUUCAUCUGCUAAUUAAAUAGAAUUUUCUGAUACUCUUGACUUUUGAUGGUUAGAUUAAAGUCUGUGGCUAAACUAAUUGCACUACUACAACAGCAGUCCCACCUGAUGUGAGCGUGAAAGUUGUGUGUUUUACUUUCUCUCUAUAUGCUAACAAUGCCAUGAAGUUGGAUUCAGUCAAUGUUAGAUGACGUUACAGUACAGAGUACAUACAAAUAUAAGGCCAAUUAUUAACAAUGUUCCUUUGUAACAAACAUAUUGUUACAGCAAUAAUUGUAAGCUAGUGAACUUACUCUCGAACAUGCAAAAUUUCUCAUCUAUUUUAGCAGGUGCCCCAUAACCUGAGACUGUUCCUCAUAUCAGUGGCCACAGGUUCGAUUCGGCUCAGCAGCCCUUCCCUGCUUGUCAUCCCCCUGCAUCAUAUGGUGUAUAUAUGGUGUAUAUAAUUAGCGUGGUGCUAUGGGAUUGUACAUAGUGGUGCCUAUGAUGUGAGCUGACUCCUAAUCUGUCAGUAAAAGCUGCAACACUAUUGACUGACUGAGACAUGCUGGGUGAGACAUGGAGAGUAGUGCCGCCAUGAUCAAUACUUUCAAAUUGCUGUUUCAUUUAGGGUGAUGGGUGUCAUGCUAUUAAUGGAUCUGAUUCAUUACUGGAAAACGAUUCUUUAGGAAACAUGUUUUCUUUCACCCUCUGCAGUGUGUCUCAAACACACUUUCUGCUGUUCCUUAUAAGAACCGUGUAUUGACUUGUUAAGUUCAUAGAGAGGGACACAUUCAACCUUUACCCUGACCCUAAUCUACAAUUCUUUUUAAUCUACUGGCAUUGUUUACAUCCAUGUCUUUACUAAGUGC